rnacentral:rRNA from 1 species
UACGUAGGGGGCUAGCGUUGUCCGGAAUCAUUGGGCGUAAAGCGCGCGUAGGCGGCCCGGUAAGUCCGUUGUGAAAGUCAAAGGCUCAACCUUUGAAAGCCGGUGGAUACUGUCGAACUAGAGUGCGGAAGAGGCGAGUGGAAUUCCUGGUGUAGCGGUGAAAUGCGCAGAUAUCAGGAGGAACACCAAUUGCGAAGGCAGCUCGCUGGGACGUUACUGACGCUGAGACGCGAAAGCGUGGGGAGCAAACAGG